rnacentral:rRNA from 1 species
CCUACGGGGGGCAGCAGUGAGGAAUAUUGGUCAAUGGACGAGAGUCUGAACCAGCCAAGUAGCGUGAAGGAUGACUGCCCUAUGGGUUGUAAACUUCUUUUAUAUGGGAAUAAAAUGUUCCACGUGUGGGAUUUGUAUGUACCAUAUGAAUAAGGAUCGGCUAACUCCGUGCCAGCAGCCGCGGUAAUACGGAGGAUCCGAGCGUUAUCCGGAUUUAUUGGGUUUAAAGGGAGCGUAGGUGGAUUGUUAAGUCAGUUGUGAAAGUUUGCGGCUCAACCAUGAGAGUGCGGCGCGAACUGGAGACCUUGAGUGCGCGGAAGGCAGGCGGAAUUCGUGGUGUAGCGGGGAAAUGCAUAGAUAUCACGCAGAACCCCGAUUGCGAAGGCAGCAUGCCGGCUUCCGACUGACGCUGAAGCACGAAAGCGUGGGGAUCGAACAGGAUUAGAUACCCUGGUAGUC